UUUUUUUUUGCCAACUGUUGUGGGAGGAAAGGAAAUCUCCAAGGAGAUUGUUCCUGGAAGGAUCCCUAAAGAGGGAGUACCCUUCUGGAACUCAAGGCUUUAAUCCCUGGGCCUGACCCCAUGAUCUUCCCCCUGCUCUAGCAUGGAGGGCUGGUAGCUGCUUUACCUUGGAGGGACUCCCUUCUGUCAUCUCUUUGAAGGUGGAAUGAGCCAGCAAACUAUGAAGGAGGGUGUGUAGGAAGGAAGCCAAAGCUUACUGGACACAUAAAUUCUUAGAUUCAUUCAUUUAUUCAGUACAUAUUUAUGAGGUAUAUUUUAUGUGCUGGACAGUCUUCUGGAUGCUCAUGAUACAUCGGUAACUCAAACAGAUACAAGUCCUUGCUUUCCCAAGCUUUCCUUCAGAUGACAUGGGGGCAGAUAGAAAUUGAACAAUAAACACAACGAACAAAUUAUAUAGUAUGUUGGAAGGUGGCAGGUGCCUUGGCAAAAGAAAAAGUAGAGCAUGAUGGGAAGGUUCUGGGGUGCUGGGAUGGGACAGUGUGAGGUAUUUAAUAGGAUAAUGGGUAGACCUUUUGGGGAAGCUGGGAAUUGACCACAGCCUGGGAAGACCUGGGCAUAGAGAGAUUUUCUGAAUCAAAAAGCUUCACCCAGACAGCCUGAGAUUCUCAGUGCAGCGCUGACGUCCUACUUCUGCUUCGCUUACUGAUCUCUUAUUCCUCACUUGUUCAGCUGUUCGUUUUCUUAGCCGUCUUUUGACGUUCGUCUGUCUGCUUCCCUUUGCCCAAUGCGCAAACGGGCCUUCCUGGUCAUGAACGUCUGGUUAGCAACAGUGAAAAUUUGGAGCCUCGGGCCCUUGAGCAACUUGGGGCCCUUGAGACGUAGGAAGCCAGAUGUGAGUGAACAAAAUCUUCCCAACGUAACCCUGUCACAAGGAAGCUAUUCUCAGUCUGGCCACCGUACUUCAACCCAUUGCGUGAAACUGUCCACACAACAGCAGCAAGAACAACCCACUUUGAGUGUGCCCUGUGUGCCAACCACUUAUUAAAGCAAGUCUUUACUUUUACUGUGUCAUUCAGUCUCAUUGGUGUCUAAACCAAACUCCUCCCUAACAGAGAAGUGCCCUACCUUUUUUUUUUUUUUUUAAAUCCCAACACCAUGGCUGAAAUGCCUUUGUAUGUGUGUCCCACUUUAUUUUCAAAAUAAUUUAGGAGGCCUUUGAGACAAUUGUCUUCCAGGCAACAAAGCUUAAAUAGCCUAUUUCUCUAUUUUCCUGAUUUUUUCCGUACGGUGUCUUUAGAGUGCAUCCAGUCCUGAGUUUUUCUUGCUAUUCCCAAAUUUCGGAUGCUCUCUUACGCCUCUCUCUCUCCUCUCCUCUUUCCCUCUGUGUUUUAUUCUCCGUGGGACACUCCAUUAUGCCUCUUAGCUACAUGGCCGUUGCUCUGUUAUAAUGAUCGUGACAUUAGCCAACAAUUUUCAGAGCUUUUUGACGGCAGGGAACUGUGUCUUAUUCAGGCUCUUGUUCUAGCACCUAGCACUGAGGCCUGGCACAUCGGGAACGCUUGGUAAAUGUUCACUGAGUGAGCAAAUCUCUUCCUUCCCAUUCCUUCUUUUCCUCUGCCAAUAACCUACUCCAGACACUCAUUAUUUUUCAUGCCUAAGGUAUAUCAGAAUGUGUUUGCCUGCACAUAGCAGCAAAGACAACUCAACCUGGCUUAAGCAAUAAGGAAUUUUACUGGCUGACAGAACUGGAAGUCCAGAGAUAAAGCAGGCCUCACCAUGGACUUAAUCCAAGCACUCCAGCAUUUCUUUGUGAUUCUCUUGGCCCCGUCCUCCUUUGGCUAACAGUGUGGCGGCUACAGGAAUUCGGAUCCUCGAUUUUGGCCACAGUGACAUCGAACCUGUAUCCGAAGAGUGCGCUCGUCCUGGAAGUUUCUAGGAGAUGUCCCUUUGUGUAGUUCAUUGGUUUGAAAUGGGUCACGUAUCUGCUCCUCAGCCGGUUCUUGUAGCCUGAGGAUUGCCAUAUUCCAGUCAGUUUACAGCUGGAUUUGUGAAACAGGCAAUGACACGGAAGAAGGAAUUACUCUGAGAUAAAAACGGAGCUGGGUUCAUUUCUCCAAGCAGUAGGCCUCUCAUGGAGGGCGGGUGGAACGCUGACUGAAAUUCACAGAACUGUUAGGAAGGGGCGCCAGACUUGCAGGUAGCAGCCAUCAGUGUGAAACUUCCUAAUUGGUGUUUCGCCCCCUGGGCACUCCCUCCUUCCGUGCACCUGCCACCAGAUUCAUCUCUCUGAAACGUGAUGUUUACGAUACAGCACUAUUGAAAAAAUGUUAACUGACUCCCCGUUGCCUAUUGGAAAAUAUUCUGACAUUCAACCUGCUGUUUAAGACAGUCCCAUUUUAUCCUUAAAGAUUCAUCUUCUAGUUCUCUUCUGUACUAAAACCGGUAUCAUUUUUUAUUUUAUUUUAUUUUUUUUGAGAGAGAGUGAGCGAGCGAGCAGGGGAGAGGGGCAAGGGGGAGAGAGAAAGAGAGAGAAUCCCAAGCAGGCUCCAUGCACAGUGCGGAGCUGGAUGCCAGGCUCAGUCCCACAACCCUGGGAUUAUGAUCUGAGCUGAAAUCAAGAGUCAGAUGCUCAAAUGACUGAGCCACCCAGGCAUCCCAUUAAACUGGUGUUAUUGACUGAAUGUUUGUCUGCCUCACAAAUUCAUAUGUUGAAAUCUUAACCCCCAAUGAGGUGGGGCCUUUGGGAGAUGAUUAAGUCAUGAAGGUGGAACCCUUGUGAAUGGGAUUGGGAUCCUUAUAAUAAGGACCCCAGAGAGCUCUCUAGUCUUCUUUCUGCCAUGUGAGAAUACAAAGAGAAGGUGCCCAUAUGCUUUCUGGAAGAAGGCCCUCACCGGAUCCCAAUCAUGCUGGUCUCAGGCUUUCAGUCUCCAGAACUGUGAGAAAUAAAUCACUGUUAUUUAUAGGCUACUCAGUCUGUGACAUUUUGUUACAGCAGCCUGAAUGGAUUAAGACAGCUGAGUGUUGGCCAACUUGGCUUACUAAUCAUUCUCUGAUAAUGUAGGUUUAUACCUUUGCUUCUGUUUUUUCAUUUCCUUUACAUAGAGUGACUGCUUUCCUUCUCUGUGAACAUGAAAGUUCUAACCUUGAUUUCAAGAUCCACUGAAGAAGAGAAAGACAAAGAGACAAUGUAUAUUUAAAGCAAUAAUGGCUGAAAACUUAGCAAAUCUGAGGAGAGAAAUGGACAUUCAGAUCCGUGAGGCCCAGAGGAUCCCAAAUAGGCUUUGAACUUGAGUAGGGAUACACUGAAACAAAUUAUAAUUAAAUUGUCAAAAGUUAAGGGCAAAGAACUUUAAGAACAGUAAGAGAAAAGAGAGAAGUUACAUACAAGGGACCUCUCAUAACACCAUCUGUGGAUUUCUCAACAGAAACUUUUGCAACUAAGAGAGAAUGGAAUGACAUAUUCAAAACAUUGAAAGAAAAUAACUUUCAACAAUAAUUCUAUACCCAGCAAGGCUGUCCUUCAGAAACAAAGGAGGGAUAAAGACUUUUCUGAACAAAGAGAAGCUGUGAGAGUUCAUUACUAACAGAUCUGCCUUAUAAGAAAUGCUAAAGGGAGCUUUGUUAAUGGAAAUCGAAGAACAGUAAUUAACACCAUACAAACACAAAAAGGUAGGUAAAUCUCACUCGGUAAUAGUAAAUACAUAGUCACUGUUAUUAGAUUCUGCACUAUGAUAAUAGUGAUGCAUAAUUCGUUUACAACUUUAGUUUAAACAUUGGGAAAAAAUGAAUGUAGUAAAAAUAAUCAUAGCUAAAAUAUCUGUUAUGUACGCAAUAUAAAAAACAUGUAAAUUAUAAUCAUAAUAAUCUAAGAUAUUUGGGGAGGAGAAGCAAAAGUGUAGAGUUUAUGAAUUUUAUUGAAGGUAAAUCAUUACCAGUUUAAAAUUGGGUGCUAUAAGUUUAAGAUAUUAUAUAAGCCUUAUGGUAACCACAGGAGAAAAUCUUGUAGUAAUUAUACCAAAGAACAUGAUAAAGAAGGCAAAGCAUAUUGAUACCAAAACAUGUCAAAACAAGAAAAAACAGCAGUAUAUAAGAAACAAGGAACAACAAAUCUAUCAAAUAAGCAGAAAACAGUUAACAAAAUGGCACCAGUAAGUCUUUACCUAUCAGUGAUUAAACAUAAAUAGGUUAAAUUCUUCAGUUAAACCACAAUGAGGUAAAAUGAAUGGAUUGAAAAAGUAAAAAGGAGAACAAGAUCCACCAAGAUCUUUGCCCAUAAGAGAUUCACUGUAGCCUUAAAGACACACAUAGACUGAGUGUGAAGGAAUGGAAAUACACAUUUCAAGCAAAUGGUAAGUACGAAGAAGAGGUAGCUAUACUUAUAGCAUACAAAAUAGACUUUAAAAAUGGUAAAAAGAAACAAAGAAGGUAAUUAUAUAAUGAGAAAUGGAUCAUACAUCAAGAAGAUAGAAUAAUUGUAAAUAUUUAUGUACCCAACAUUGAGGCACCUAAGUAUUUAAAAUAAAAACUAACAGAGGUGAAAGGGGAAGUGAAUAGUAAUACACUAAUAAUUGGGGACUCUAUAACACUCUGCUUUCAACAAUGGAUAAAUCACCCAGGCAGAUAAUCAAUAAGGAAACAGAUUUGAACAGCACUACAAACCAGACGGAUCUAACAGACAUUUGCAGAACAUUCUAUCCAGUAACAGCAGAAUACAGUUUUCUCAAAUACACAUGAAACAUUUUCUAAGAUAGACCAAAUGGUAGGCUACAAAACAUGUCUUAACAAGAUCAAGAAAAUUGAAAUCAUAUCAAAUCUCUUCUCUGACCACAAUGGCUUGAAACCAGAAAUCAAUAACAAGAAGCAAACUGGAAAAUUCACAAAUACAUGGAAAUUAAACAAUACUGUCCUGAACAACCAGUGGAUCAAAGAAGAAAUUAAAGGUGACAUUUUAAAGUUUCCUGGAAAAUGAAAGUGGAAACACAACAUACCAGAACUUGUGGGAUGCAGCAAAAGCAGUUCUAAGAGGGAUGUUCAUAGUAAUAAACACCUGUAAUAAAAAGCAAGAAAGAACCUAAAUAAAUAACCUAACUUUAUGCCUUAAGGAACUAGGGGAAAAAAAGUAAAAAACUGAGCCCAAAUUUAGCAGAGAAAAAGGACAUAAUAAAGAUUAGAGAGAAAUAAGUGAAAUAGAUAACAGGAAAACAAUAGAAAAGAAACAAACUAAGAGUUGGUUCUUUGAAAAGAUAAAAUUGACAAACCUUCAGCUUACCUUGACUAAGCAAGGAAAAAAGAAAAAGCGUUCAAAUCAACAAACUGAUAAAUGAAAAAAGAAGCAUCAACAUGAUUAUCACAUGUAAAUGAACCAAACUGGAUC